GCCCAGGUUGGCGGCAGUUAGUCGCUGGCUCGCGGGAGGCCUGUGGGCAUGCGCCGAGUGGGGCCGCCGCUGCCGCCGAGGCUUUUGGAGACGAAACCGAAGCUGAAGACAGUUUAGAGGCCGGGAAGCACCUGAAGAAGUAAGAGGUGGUGCGAUUUCGGCUGCGACGACUCACAUAGCCUGGUCCUGUGAAUGGUUUCCCGGCUUUCUGGGUUGAGAAGUUGUCUUCAUCACCCAGCAGUGGAAACACGCAGGUGGUUUGACAAGGGAUAAGGAGUGCGGAAAAAAUCGUUGGCUGGCACGUCAGAUGAAAGUAAAAAGCAGCCAAGUGAGAGACUGAGCUCCUUGCCACGUGGAAGAAUGGAGUUUCUUCGUAAAACCCACACCCCCAAAAGCAGCGGUUCUCAACUUGUGGGUCCCCAGAUGCUGGACUACAACUCCCAUCAUCCCUGAGCUCUGGCCUUACUAGCUAGGGGUGAUGGGAGUUGUAGUUCAACAACAUCUGGGGACCCACAGGUUGAGAAAGGCUGCCCUAAAGGCAGUGGUCUUUAAAUUAUUAAACAGAGACUAUACCUAUCUGUAUAAAAAGCAAGUAAAUGCACAACCCCAACUGCUAAAGGAAGGGCUUGUGGAAAAAAUGAAUAAAUAUCCUCUUCAAGGUCUCCACCUUCUCACAAAGCAAUGAGCAAUAAAACUAUUCCCCCCCCCCAAAAAAAAAUAGAAACCACAAAUGUUGACUGAAUUAUUGUAUCUUUAUUAUUAUUUGGUUCAUUUAACUAUUUGUUAAAUGCAAGAGAGGGAGAGUUGGCAGCAACAGAGGUGCAAAUGUGGACUGCUGUGGCAAAACUUGCCUCACUGUUCAUGAGAGAGAAGAAUAUAGAGUGCAGUCCUUUGUGCAGGAUCCACUGGUUGUGGAGCUACAGGAUUUGACAAAAGCCCUGCUAUGACAGCAAAACAAUAGUCUGCCACCAGUGGAAUAUAUUGGCAGCACCAUUCCAUCAGUGAAGGUAUGUUGACAGAGGGAAGUCAGCAGCAGCAUAGAAAAACACUCUGCAUCCAAGAGAUUGCCAAUGUGAUUCCCAGCAGGCACCAGUGUGCUUGCCAGUACCUCCUAUGGCACUUGCUAAAUGUCUCAAUAAAUAUCACCUCAAAAAUCUAUAGAGCACAAGACACUGUUUGCUCUUCUUGCUUGGUUCAUAUUUGCACUGGCUUAGCAUCCUCUACAAAGAACACUUCCUUAACGUGCCCACAUUUCAUUAGGUGUCAUUAGGCAGAAGAGGCAUAUAAAAAGCUUUCCUCUGAGUGCAGCAGCGGCUGACACUGGUGCCUUUCCUUCAUUAAUGGCGUGGGGACAUGGCUGCACCAUUUUGUGGGCCCUUUUCUGCUCUUUUAGAUGUGGCAGCUAUUUUGUGUGAUGUCACACAUCCCACAACGGCCAGUUAGUGGUGCCACACACCCUCAACAGCUGUUAUGUGACCAGGGUCUACUGCACUAAUACACCCAUUGGCCUCCAAACAUUGGUGACUCCUAUUUGAUGUAUGUUAUACUUCCUUACUGCUUGAUAAUGCCUUUAUGGAUGACAUAACUUUAUACAGGGAAGCUCUUUCCCAUUGACUUAAAAAUGUUGCAUAACAGUGCAUAGGAUAUGGUGUAAUUCAGCACUCAAGAGCAGCACAACGCCACCAAUAUAUAAAACCCCACACAAGGAGACUAAAACUCAGGUGACAGGACAUCUGCCAUAUUGCUACAUCUCUGGCCUCACUAGGGAUAACUUUGGUAAUGGGAGAAAGGUCUUCACAACACAUGGGAAUGGAUGAGUUUGCUCUGUAAAGAGCCCUUUGCCUGUAUUGCAGCUGCAGGGGGAAAGCAGUCAAAGUGGAUAAUAAGGGUGAUCCGUCUAAUUUUGUGCCACAUUGGUAGGUUCAGGCCCCAGGCUGCUAGUUGGUUAGCCCUUGUUCCAGACAGAAGUAGAGAAUUCAAUACAAAAUGACUGCAUUUAUUUAGGAACAUGUUAUUUACCACUAUAGCUGUAAAUCUGUAAUAAUGUGGUAGUCUUCGUCUUUGACAAUCACUCAUAGCUGAGUAAGAUUGUCUUCCAUGAACACUGUUUUAACUGAGACCGAAAGUGACUGUAGAGGCCAAUUCUGGAUCCACACGUCCUUCCACAGUGGGGAAAUAUGUUUCCGGCUGGGAGUUGAUCACAGUGAGGGUUUGCCAAGCGUACCUUCCUCUUAGCACAUUUCUCCCUUUCGUCCUGUGGUAGUCCAAGGUACAUAGUAUGCAUUUUAUAAGUGUGUUGAAAUGAUAUUUUACAAUCAUAAUUAUUUUGACAAAAAUAAAACAUUUCCUUGUCAUUACGUAUGUAAUCCUCCAAGACAUUGCUGAAGAACCACAAAGAACCACAAAUGAAAUAACAUAAUUGCAUAUUUUAAAAAACUAUUAUUAACUCAGAAAUUCAUCAGUUUAUCCAUGAUACAAAUUUAUAAUAAAAGUUGAGUCAGUUGAAAAUACAAUCCUGCAGGAUUGAGAAAAUAUUGUAUUCAAAAGAUUUUAAUAAUCUCCAUACGGUUACUUACAGUGUGGAAAAGUACUUUCAUUUGAUCAUGUACAAUCUUAUCAAAAUGUAAUCCUAAACAUGUAUACUUAGCUCAGAAAUAAGUCCUGUUGCAUUUAGUGGGGUUUACCUCAAGAUAAAUGUGGCUGGAUUGCAGCCUGAGUGUAAUGUACUUCUAUUUUAAACCAUAUUUUAAUUAACUGUUUGUUUGUUGCUGUUUUUUCUAUUACGUUUUAUUGUAAGUCAUAUCUGGUGUUAGCCACCGUGAACCCGGCCCUGGCGGGGGUAUAAAUAAAUUUAUUAUUACUACUACUACUACUACUAUUUUACUUCUCAUGGGCACAAUCUACAAGGAAGCUCUUUUGAGAAAAGCCUCUUCAACACAAAUUUCCAGUGGACUGGGCUCCAUGUAUUUAGAAGUCACUGUUCAGACAUUUGCCUGAACACACCAAUGCUCAACAUUUCAAAAGGGUAGGAUCCAUACAAAAAUUCUGCCUGCAAUAUUUGGUCCCCAAAUAUUUGGCAUUGUGUGAGGAGGGGCCUUAUUCAUUUACUUUAAAAAAAAAAAAGAGGUUUACAACAGUAUAAAAUAAAACAUUAAAAUUUCUGAUAAAAAGUUAAAAGCAGAUAUUAAACAUAUUAAUAUUUUUUUUGAAAUCAACACUGACUAAAAAUAAAUAAAACACAUGUAACUUCUACAGUGUUGAUUUGGGUUCUUAACAAACCUUUCUGAUCUUUCCAGGUUGUUUUGAUGUGAAAGUUUUGGAACAAACUGUAAUGCAAAGUAUCCUUUAAAGUAGUUCCCUAAACUCCAUUGAGGUGUUAAGAUGAAGCACAUGCCACACAAAAGAGCAGCAAGAAGUUCUUAUUGAGACCUCAUUUCACAUUCAGACACACAAACCAAUUGGUUUGGAAUUUACAAGCCCUAAACAAAUGUCAACUUCUCUUUCAUCUCCAGGAAAACAAGCGGACAGAAAUAGAUGGAUGCCUAAUUUCUUUUACUGAUUUCUGCAAAAUCUCAGAAUGGAACCCUGUUCAACUGAAUCUGGAAGGUUUCUUUAAAUAGUGCACUGAGACAUAUUUCGCUAAAAUAGCUAAAUCCUUUUGAGUGAAAUCCCUAAAGGUGAUUGUAUAAUUUCCGGCUACCUACCUGAAUCUGUAUAAUUUUUUUGUUAUUGCUCAUUUAAUUAAAAUAACUUGCAGACCAG